GAUCCUGCUCCUUGAGGCAUCAAAUAUUUAGCUAACUUGAUGGAAUCAUUUGCUUCAUUGAUUCGACUACUCCGAUCUGCAACAUAAUGCUUGCUAACUUCCAUAAAUUUCCUUUUCUUUCCAGGCUUGGGUACACCAAAGAUUACUCUAGAUCCUUCCUUUUGCAACCCAGUCCUAGUCAUUCUCAGUGCAUCAGGCCUAUUCCCAUCUCUGGUGCUCUUACCCAUAUUGAAUAGUUUUUCAUCAGCUGAUAA
rnacentral:misc_RNA from 1 species